UACAGAGGUCUCAAGCGUUGUUCGGAUUCAUUGGGCGUAAAGGGUGCGUAGGCGGCGCGGUAAGUCGGGUGUGAAAUUUCGGAGCUUAACUCCGAAACUGCAUUCGAUACUGCCGUGCUCGAGGACUGGAGAGGAGGCUGGAAUUUACGGUGUAGCAAUGAAAUGCGUAGAUAUCGUAAGGAAGACCAGUGGCGAAGGCGGGUCCCUGGACAGUUCCUGACGCUGAGGCACGAAGGCCAGGGGAGCAAACGGG
rnacentral:rRNA from 1 species